rnacentral:rRNA from 1 species
UUGACCUCAAAUCAGGCGGGACUACCCGCUGAACUUAAGCAUAUCAAUAAGCGGAGGAAAAGAAACUAACAAGGAUUCCCCUAGUAACUGCGAGUGAAGCGGGAAAAGCUCAAAUUUAAAAUCUGGCGGCUUCGUCGUCCGAGUUGUAAUUUAGAGAAGCGUUUUCCGCGCCGGACCGUGUACAAGUCUCCUGGAACGGAGCGUCAUAGAGGGUGAGAAUCCCGUCUUUGACACGGACCCCCGGUGCUCUGUGAUACGCUCUCGAAGAGUCGAGUUGUUUGGGAAUGCAGCUCAAAAUGGGUGGUGAACUCCAUCUAAAGCUAAAUAUUGGCGAGAGACCGAUAGCGAACAAGUACCGUGAGGGAAAGAUGAAAAGCACUUUGGAAAGAGAGUGAAACAGUACGUGAAAUUGCUGAAAGGGAAACGCUUGAAGUCAGUCGCGUUCGGCGGAAUUCAGCCUUAUGGUGUACUUUCCGUCGGACGGGCCAGCAUCACUUUUGGCUGCCGGAAAAGGGCGGGGGGAAUGUGGCACCUUCGGGUGUGUUAUAGCCUCUCGUCGUAUACGGUGUCUAGGAGUGAGGACCGCCUUUGCAGGAUGCUGGCGUAAUGGCUUUAAACGACCCGUCUUGAAACACGGACCAAGGAGUCUAACAUGCCCGCGAGUGUUCGGGUGGAAAACCCGUGCGCGUAAUGAAAGUGAAAGUUGGGAAGGCUGUCGCGGCCUGCACCGACGCCCGGACCUGAGAUUUAUCGACGGU